rnacentral:rRNA from 1 species
UACGUAGGGUGCAAGCGUUGUCCGGAAUUAUUGGGCGUAAAGAGCUCGUAGGCGGUUUGUCGCGUCUGCUGUGAAAACCCGAGGCUCAACCUCGGGCCUGCAGUGGGUACGGGCAAACUAGAGUGCGGUAGGGGAGAAUGGAAUUCCUGGUGUAGCGGUGGAAUGCGCAGAUAUCAGGAGGAACACCACAGGCGAAGCACUCUGCUGGGCCGACACUGACACUGAGAGACGAAAGCUAGGGGAGCGAAUGGG